rnacentral:rRNA from 1 species
GAUGAAUGCUGCCGGCGCGCCUAAUAUACGCAACUCGACCGAACAGAUGAGGAGCUUGCUCCUCUGACGUUAUCGGCGGACGGCUGAGUAACACAUGGAUAACCGACAGAUAAAACUCGGAUAAGUUCGGGAAACCGGAUCUAAUACCCUUUAAUCUAUUCAACUGCAUGGUUCAAUAGUGUAAGACGGUUUUGCUGUCACUUUUAGCUGGAUCCGCGCCGCAUUAGCUAGUUCGUAAGGUAACGGCUUACCAAAGCAACGAUGCGUAGCCGACCUGAGAGCGUGAUCGGCCACACUGGAACUGAUACACGGUCCAGACUCCUACGGGAGGCAGAAGUAGGGAAUCGUCCGACAUGGGCGAAAGCCUGACGUAGCAACGCCGCGUGAGUGAUGAGCGUUUUCGGAUCGUAAAACUCUGUUAUUCUGGAAGAACAAAUGUGUAAGUAACUAUGAACGUCUUGAGGGUACCUAAUCAGAAAUCCGCGGCUAACUACGAG